UUCUCGUCGAGGAUGUUCAGCAAUCCCUCGUGCUGACCCGGCCCACGGAGCUGAGGAGGUGAGCAGAGCCGGGACUGCAGAACCGAAGAGGGCGCGAGCUCACGCCCGGGCGGCCACUGAGCGCGUUUCCCGACCGGAUCAGGCCUCCGCGGGCCUGCGGGGUAGCUCCUCUGCCUUUCGGGAAGGAGGCGGACGAGCGGCUACUCGGGUCUGCCUGCCCACCUGGCCCCGCUGUAUCUGGCGGCGCAGCCUCCCGGCUCCCAGUGGAGAGCCCUGCUCUGAGCAGCCGGCCGUCCCGGCACAGACCAGCCGCUCACGGGACACAGAAGAGGCCCCGCAGGAGGCGCCGCUCGCCCCCACAACGCAAGUGCCUCCCUGCCACUCGAGACGGGAAAAGCCAUCAGAACUUGACAGGGACGAGCACAGAGCUGUUGUCCCCAAAUAAAGAACUCACAUCAGCAGGGAAUGUGAAAAUGUUAUUUAGAACUUCUGUUCUCAGAUGUUCAACACAAAGGAGGGAUUGUUGUGCCAGGGAACAAAGUGAUCCAGUAUUCACAAAGCAGGGAUUCUCUCACUGCACAUUCUGUUUCCAAAACACUCAGGACCACAGCAAGUUUUCCAGUUGGGGCAAAGACGCUACUUCUGGAAGCGGGAGAGGAGAUAACAGAAAUCUUUCACAGAGGAGCUGAAAGCCUUCCAAGGAAAAGCAAAGCAAAUGUCGGGCCGGAGGGGCGGCCAGUGUGGAUGAUCCUAUGUUCCUGGAAGGAAACGCAAUACACGGGCGAAGACCCUGGAAAACUGGGGAACCAGUUCACCAUCUUAAUCCUGCCUCUCCGACCACGAUGGGGUCAAUGUCAGCUUCUUUUCAACUCAACUUCCAAACAAUCAGAAUGAAGGUGCCCAUCUUUUAGGAAAGGCAAAUCUCAGAUGUAAAAUUCUAAGGGAAGUACCUACACACAGUAGGCCUUUGAGUUCAGGGGCCGUGACUCACUCACCAUGGUAAUCUAUCCCCCACAAAUAGAGGGUUCUAUUUGCCCUUGAACCAUCUCUCUGGCAACGUACUAGCAUGUUUCCUAUGAGUCAUGAUUAAAAUUGGGUACAGCCCACCGUAAAACUCGA